UACGUAGGGGGCAAGCGUUGUCCGGAUUUAUUGGGCGUAAAGAGCGUGUAGGCGGCCAUACAGGUCAGCUGUGAAAACUCGAGGCUCAACCUCGAGACGUCGGUUGAAACCGUAUGGCUAGAGUCCGGAAGAGGAGAGUGGAAUUCCCGGUGUAGCGGUGAAAUGCGCAGAUAUCAGGAGGAACACCGGUGGCGAAGGCGGUGAUCUGGGCCGGCACUGACGCUGAGGAGCGAAAGCGUGGGUAGCAAACAGG
rnacentral:rRNA from 1 species